rnacentral:rRNA from 1 species
AUUGAACGCUGGCGGCAGGCCUAACACAUGCAAGUCGAGCGGAUGAAGGGUGCUUUCUCCUGGAUUCAGCGGCGGACGGGUGUGUAAUGCCUAGGAAUCUGCCUGGUUGUUUUUGAUAACGUCCUUUAACGGGCUCUAAUACCGCAUCCGUCCUGCGCUUGAUAGUUGUGGAUCUUCGGUCCUCUCGCUCUCUUAUGUUCCUAGGUCGGAUUAGCUAGUUGGUGGGGUAAAGGCCUACCAAGGCGACGAUCCGUAAAUGGUCUGAGAGGAUGAUCAGUCACACGGGAACUGAGACACGGUACAGACGACUACGGGAGGCAGCAGUGGGGAAUAUUGGACAAAGGGCGAAAGCAUGAUACAGACAAGCCGAGUGUGUGAAGAAGGUCUUCGGAUUGUAAAGAACUUUAAGUUGGGAGGAAGGGAAGUAAGUUAAGAAAUUGCUGGAGUGACGGUAACAACAGAAUAAGCACCGGCUAACUUCGUG